UACAGAGGGUGCAAGCGUUAAUCGGAAUUACUGGGCGUAAAGCGCGCGUAGGCGGCUUUGUAAGUUAGAGGUGAAAGCCCGGAGCUCAACUCCGGAACUGCCUUUAAGACUGCAUCGCUAGAAUUGUGGAGAGGUGAGUGGAAUUCCGAGUGUAGAGGUGAAAUUCGUAGAUAUUCGGAAGAACACCAGUGGCGAAGGCGACUCACUGGACACAUAUUGACGCUGAGGUGCGAAAGCGUGGGGAGCAAACAGG
rnacentral:rRNA from 1 species